UACGUAGGGGGCAAGCGUUGUCCGGAUUCAUUGGGCGUAAAGAGCUCGUAGGCGGUGUGUCGCGUCGGCCGUGAAAACCUGCAGCUUAACUGUGGGCUUGCGGUCGAUACGGGCAUCACUGGAGUUCGGCAGGGGAGACUGGAAUUCCUGGUGUAGCGGUGAAAUGCGCAGAUAUCAGGAGGAACACCAGUGGCGAAGGCGGCUCACUGGACCGGUUCUGACGCUGAGGCGCGAAAGCAUGGGGAGCGAACAGG
rnacentral:rRNA from 1 species